CAUUAAGUGACUGAAAGUAAGUAAUGGUCUCUUAAACCAAAAUAUGGCAACUAACAAACGCCCUUAAUGA
rnacentral:tRNA from 1 species